GUGCUCACUUCAGCAGCACAAAGACUAAAACUGGAAUGUUCAGAUUAGAUUAGCAUGGCCCCUGCAUAAGGAUGACACGUAAAUUUGGGAAGCUUUCCAUAUUUAA
ensembl:snRNA U6 U6 spliceosomal RNA